rnacentral:lncRNA from 1 species
UUUUUUUUUAGAUGAGAAUACAAAUGCAGGGCACAACGUCUGGCACAGCUUUGAGAUUCAGGCCAUCUUCUCUGGAGUGAAGAGAUGUUCUGCAAAUUUUGGCCGAAUGAGGGUGUGAAUGACUGAACACGGGACCCACCUUUCACUCUCAUUUCGGGGUUGCCAGCUUCUGGGAGCAAGUGGAGCCUCCACGUGCAUGGCGGUUGCCUAAGAAUGAGGUCACCCCACAGACAAGUGGGCCUGAGAGAGGGUGCCAGGAGGGCACCCAGCCUUCCAGCCAUUUGUGACACUCAAAAGUCUAGUUCAUCUUUCAAGAAGAGCUAGUCAAGAUCCACUACGCUGCCAUUCUAACCCAUCUAUAGGCUGUGAACUGUGGUUUGUGAAGAGUGAAUUGAACUGUGGGAGUGCCCACGUCUGCCUGAGAGAAUCAGGGAGGGCAAAACAGGGAGAAGAUGCUGGUGGUGGAUUUGAACGAUGACGAGGAUUUUUCCAGAUGAGUAAGAGGACGAUCAGAGCUACAUCCUGAAGAACAAG